UUCAGAUCCAGGAGAUGCUCUACAAGACACAGAUAAUCUUACCUGAGAAGAAUCCUAGAGGAGGAGAAGAAAGAGGAAGAAAUGACUGGUUCUCAGGUCUUGCUGCCUCUAAGCCAGAACUGAU